AAGACAGCAGCUGAGGCAGUGUAGGGUGAUUGAGAAAGUACACCAGUAACAAGCUGGGUAAAAGAUACAUUGAGAAAUGCUACUGAAAUGCCAAGGUGAGAUAGCUUGAGACUACAGCUCUGGGACAGACAUCUACAAACAGGCAAAGAAUCUCCAAGAUGUUACUCAGUCACCGGUGGGAAGAGGAAGUGGUUCAUGCAACCAUGAAAGGGAGGGGAGUUGGUCUACGAGACAAAGAAAAAAAAUGAAGAAAAGAAACAAU